rnacentral:rRNA from 1 species
AAAACAUAGCCCUAAGAAUUGAUUUAGGGUACAACCUGCCCAAUGAGAUAUUGAAUGGCCGCGGUACUUUGACCGUGCUAAGGUAGCAUAAUCAAUUGACUUUUAAAUGAAGUCUGGAAUGAAUGGGAAAACGGAAUUUAGCUGUCUCACGACUCUUUAAUUUGAAGUUACUAACUAGGUGAAAAGGCCUAGAAAAGAUAAAGGACGAGAAGACCCUAAGAGUUUUUUAUAUAUAUUUUGUUGGGGCAACAAAAGGUCAUAUUAAAUACCUUAUAUAAAUAAGACGGGUUUAUCAUGUUCAGAUAAACUACCUUAGGGAUAACAGCAUAAUUUUCUUUGAGUUUGUGACCUCGAUGUUGGACUAGGAAGCCUUUAGGCUAGCUGCCUAAACAGGGGAUUCUGUUCGAAUUUUUACUCCUACGUGAUCU